rnacentral:rRNA from 1 species
GAUGAACGCGGGCGGCGUGCCUAACACAUGCAAGUCGAGCGAGGGUUUGCUCAGUAUUGAGUAUUCUAAGUCUAGAAUGUUCAAUUCUGAGCAAAACCAAGCGGCGGACGGGUGAGUAACGCGUGGGUAACCUGCCCUAUACACAUGGAUAACAUACUGAAAAGUUUACUAAUACAUGAUAAUAUAUAUCUGCGGCAUCGCAGAUAUAUCAAAGUGUUAGCGGUAUAGGAUGGACCCGCGUCUGAUUAGCUAGUUGGUGAGAUAACUGCCCACCAAGGCGACGAUCAGUAGCCGACCUGAGAGGGUGAUCGGCCACAUUGGAACUGAGACACGGUCCAAACUCCUACGGGAGGCAGCAGUGGGGAAUAUUGCACAAUGGGCGAAAGCCUGAUGCAGCAACGCCGCGUGAGCGAUGAAGGUCUUCGGAUCGUAAAGUUCUGUUGCAGGGGAAGAUAAUGACGGUACCCUGUGAGGAAGCCCCGGCUAACUACGUGCCAGCAGCCGCGGUAAUACGUAGGGGGCUAGCGUUAUCCGGAUUUACUGGGCGUAAAGGGUGCGUAGGUGGUCCUUCGAGUCGGUGGUUAAAGGCUACGGCUCAACCGUAGUAAGCCGCCGAAACUGGAGGACUUGAGUGCAGGAGAGGAAAGUGGAAUUCCCAGUGUAGCGGUGAAAUGCGUAGAUAUUGGGAGGAACACCAGUAGCGAAGGCGGCUUUCUGGACUGCAACUGACACUGAGGCACGAAAGCGUGGGUAGCAAACAGG